rnacentral:tRNA from 1 species
UGGGGUUGUAGCUCAGUUGGUUAGAGCACUGCCCUGUCACGGCAGGUGUCGUGGGUUCGAGUCCCAUCAGUCCCGU